CUAUCAAUUCCCCCCACACCUAAAUCAUGCUUGUCCUCAAGCAUAAGAACAGCAAUUGAACACCAAAAUUUGACUAUGGCUAUUGCUCUAACUAUCAUAUUGCCAAGAUACCCAGAAAAACAUAUAUCAAGCAUCACAGUUAAGAUCCAAGAAAAACCACUCCGGUUAGCUUCUCAACCACCAACUCCUCCAAUUUAAAGCAAAC
rnacentral:lncRNA from 1 species